AAGCACCUCAGUCCAACUCAUACCAAAAAUCGUGGACUUGGCUUCCUCUUUUGCAACCCGUGCCCUAACUCUCCGCCUCCUCCUUCUUCCUCUUUCACAAUUCUCCUCCCGUGCCCUAUAUCUCCUCCUCCUCCUUCCUCUUUCGUGAAACUCCUUCGUGAUUCUCCUCCUAUGCCCUAACUCUCCUCCUCCUCCUUCCUCUUUCGCGAACCUCCUCAGUGAAGCUCCCGAGCCGCUUCUUCCCUCCCGUUCUCAAAGAGAGGAGCGAAGCUUGUCCCCUUCGUGCCCUAACUUCUUUGAUCACAACCUUGAGUUCUCCUUUCGCUUCCUCCCUAUGAGGCGAGGUGCUUCUUCCCUCCCAUUCUCGAAGAGAGGAGCGAAGGAGUUUAUCCAAAAAAAAUAGAGUCAAAGUCCUGACCUAGCUAUAGGGUCAAGUUAUGGCACAUCAAGUUUUGUGGUGGUGUGUGAAAUCAGGCGUCCGAGAAGCACUAGUUGGAGAAGGACAUCAUGGAGUACAUCAAGAAGGAGUUCACUAGCAAGUAUGGACAGACUUGGCACUACUUUAUCGGUCGCAACUUUGGGAAUUUUAUGUAGGCAUGUGAUCAAUGUGUUGAUAAGAAUGAAGGUGAUUGAGGUUCCUAUAAAUUAUAUUAUGGACCGAUGGCGCAAAGAUAUUAAGCGUGGGUAUCAAAGUAUCGGUAAUAUCUAUGAUGAUUAUGGUUGUGGUGGAGAAAGACAUCGGUCUAAUAUUCUCACUCCAUUGAUACAAGAGGUUCAGCAACUUGGCGCAAAAAAUAACGCAAAUUGUUCUGUCUUGGUAGAAAUUUUGAAAGACACAAAGGAAAAACUGAUUGCUAUUGAUCUUGAGCAUUCAAGGGUUGAACAAUUGAAAGAAGUAUCUACAUCGGGUGCAAAAGUGAUACACUCUCCAUUAAAAGUAAGAGCUCGAGGUUGUCCAUCCACAAAGAGGAAACAAUCUAAGAUUGAACAAAUUGUGAAGAAAUCAAUUGCAAAGGCCCGAAGAAGGAGUUGCUGAUUUUGAAGUUUGUUCUGAAACUACUAUAUGACCUACAUGCUGAUUUAGAACUUGAAUUGGUGGUUAAGCUCAUCAUAUGCAUCUGCUCUCUGUGCUGAGUGAAAUUCUUCUAGAGCUUCUACGAUAUAUGAAGGGUUGAAACUGCUAUAGGGAGUUCCUAGUUCUAAAGUUUUUUCUGAAGUUACUGUAUGACCCACAUGCUAAUUUAGAACUUAAUUGAAUUGGUGGCUGAGCUUAUAUGUACCUGAAGCUUACUUUAUUGUUGUUUUUAUUUGGCAUAAUUGCAAAGCUCAUAUGUAUUUGAAGUCUUUUUAGAUUUGGAGCUAUUUUUAUACACAAGUAUAAUGUUGGUUUCUAUUUUUCU